CUCUAUGGCUGUCCCAUCCUGAAUGUACCCAAUUUUGUCUGAUCUUGGAAGCUAGGAAGGUUGGGCCUGGUUAGUGCUUGGAUGGGAGAAGGCCACCAGUCAGGUUGGAGUAGGAU
ensembl:rRNA 5S_rRNA 5S ribosomal RNA